rnacentral:rRNA from 1 species
CCUACGGGAGGCAGCAGUAGGGAAUCUUCCACAAUGGACGAAAGUCUGAUGGAGCAACGCCGCGUGAGUGAAGAAGGGUUUCGGCUCGUAAAGCUCUGUUGGUAGUGAAGAAAGAUAGAGGUAGUAACUGGCCUUUAUUUGACGGUAAUUACUUAGAAAGUCACGGCUAACUACGUGCCAGCAGCCGCGGUAAUACGUAGGUGGCAAGCGUUGUCCGGAUUUAUUGGGCGUAAAGCGAGUGCAGGCGGUUCAAUAAGUCUGAUGUGAAAGCCUGCGGCUCAACCGGAGAAUUGCAUCAGAAACUGUUGAACUGGAGUGCAGAAGAGGAGAGUGGAACUCCAUGUGUAGCGGUGGAAUGCGUAGAUAUAGGGAAGAACACCAGUGGCGAAGGCGGCUCUCUGGUCUGCAACUGACGCUGAGGCUCGAAAGCAUGGGUAGCGAACAGGAUUAGAUACCCCAGUAGUC